rnacentral:rRNA from 1 species
GUCUAUGGCCAUACCACCCCCUGAACACGCCUGAUCUCAUCUGACCUCAGAAGCUAAGCAGGGUCGGGCCCGGUUAGUAAUUGGAUGGGAGAAGAGUUAUAUAACUUGCCAAAAAUU